rnacentral:rRNA from 1 species
ACUCAGUGAAAUUGAACUCGCUGUGAAGAUGCAGUGUACCCGCGGCAAGACGGAAAGACCCCGUGAACCUUUACUAUAGCUUGACACUGAACAUUGAGCCUUGAUGUGUAGGAUAGGUGGGAGGCUUAGAAGUGUGGACGCCAGUCUGCAUGGAGCCGACCUUGAAAUACCACCCUUUAAUGUUUGAUGUUCUAACGUUGACCCGUAAUCCGGGUUGCGGACAGUGUCUGGUGGGUAGUUUGACUGGGGCGGUCUCCUCCUAAAGAGUAACGGAGGAGCACGAAGGUUGGCUAAUCCUGGUCGGACAUCAGGAGGUUAGUGCAAUG